UGAUACGCGAGAAACCUUAACCAGGGCUUGACAUAUACAGGAAUGUUGUAGAGAUACAGCAGCCGCUUGCGGUCUGUAUACAGGUGCUGCAUGGCUGUCGUCAGCUCGUGCUGUGAAGUGUUGGUUAGUCCCGCACGAGCGCAACCCCUAUCAUCUGUUGCCAGCAUUUAAGGUGGGGACUCAGAUGAGACUGCCGGUGACAAACCGGAGGAAGGUGGGGACGACGUCAAGUCAUCAUGGCCCUUAUGUCCUGGGCUACACACGUGCUACAAUGGCCGGUACAGAGUGAAGCGAAACCGCGAGGUGAAGCAAAACGCAGAAAGCCGGUCUCAGUACGGAUUGGAGUCUGAAACUCGACUUCAUGAAGUUGGAAUCGCUAGUAAUCGCGCAUCAGCAUGGCGCGGUGAAUACGUUCCCGGGCCUU
rnacentral:rRNA from 1 species